rnacentral:rRNA from 1 species
GGGCUUGACAUCCCACGAACCUGCCCGAAAAGGUGGGGUGCCCGCAAGGGAGCGUGGAGACAGGUGGUGCAUGGCUGUCGUCAGCUCGUGUCGUGAGAUGUUGGGUUAAGUCCCGCAACGAGCGCAACCCUCACCCCUAGUUGCCACCGGGUUAAGCCGAGCACUCAAGGGGAACUGCCAGCGUCAAGCUGGAGGAAGGCGGGGAUGACGUCAAGUCAUCAUGCCCCUUACGCCCUGGGCUACACACGUGCUACAAUGGCCAGUACAAGGGGACGCGAGACUGCGAAGUGGAGCUAAUCCCAAAAAGCUGGUCUAAGUUCAGAUUGCAGUCUGCAACUCGACUGCAUGAAGGAGGAAUCGCUAGUAAUCGCGUAUCAGCCCGGCGCGGUGAAUACGUUCCCGGGCCUUGUACACACCGCCCGUCACACCACGAAAGCUGUCUGUACUCGAAGUCGCUGAG